rnacentral:rRNA from 1 species
CAGUAGCCGCGGGAAUACGAAGGGGGCUAGCGUUGCUCGGAAUCACUGGGCGUAAAGGGUGCGUAGGCGGGUUUCUAAGUCAGGGGUGAAAUCCUGGAGCUCAACUCCAGAACUGCCCUUGAUACUGGAAGUCUUGAGUAUGGGAGAGGUGAGUGGAACUGCGAGUGUAGAGGUGAAAUUCGUAGAUAUUCGUAAGAACACCAGUGGCGAAGGCGGCUUACUGGCUCAUUCUAGACGCUGAGGUGCGAAAGCGUGGGGAGCAAACAGGAUUAGAUACCCGCGUAGUCCCUGUCUCUUAUAC